AAGAAAUAACCGCCCACCCCAAAGUGGGGCGGGGAGUCUUGGAAGGGUGACCGAAAUGGUCCCCCCCCCUCCCCCCGGCUUUUUGUUUUAUUUGUUGUGCCUGCGUUUGGUCCGUGCUAGAGUCGACUGUUCCCAUCCAAAAGCUCGGAGCACACGGGCAAAACCAUUCAUUGCUUCCACUCUGAACAAGAACCGAAAUCCUCACCCUCUGAAACUGCUCUGAUUGACUGCGAUGAAACAAAGCGUAUUGCCUAAAGAAACCAUUGUCUGUUUUCCUGCAGCUUAGAUGACAAGCCUGGCAUGGUCAGCAGGCAGCAAGCGCUCUGGGAGUCGUGGUUUGCAUGAGUUUGUGAGGAGAUGACACAAAGCUAGAGCAUAGAAAGCUGCACAGAUCCCAAAACACCCUUAGGAUUCAACCAUUAAUCCUUCUGUGUUGUUUUCUGUUCUAUUCCUGUGGAGACCCACUUGUGCUAGAAGAAAUUCUGUGUGCCACUGCAAAGUGAGGCUGGGAUUCCUCAGUGUUCACCAGCACAGGGAAGAACUUAUUUUCCAAGAUCUUGGUGAGAUAUUAAACAGGAAGAAAACUGUACAUCAGGCCAACAAAUGUCUGUACUUCCUACCAAAGAAACUUAGGAACUCUGCACUCUCACUUCAUAACAGCCACUAUGAAGAGGAUUAUAGAUUGAAUACGGAUGAGUGCUCUCGUGGUGAUGCAGACUGACAUUGCUGCUGCCCAUGCUGCAGCUCAGGCUUUGUCCAGCAGCACCAGUGGGAUGCAACAAGAGUGGGUGUUUGCAUCACCACCCAUUUAAGCUCUUUGAAUUUUAACUACAAAGGAAUCCACCCCAAAACCAUCAGCUCCAAGUAGCACAUUGAGCUUGUUCGGUUGGUUCAGACCCACUGGAGGACAUAGAGACUCUCUCAACAGCCCAAAUGCUUCUCAUAGCAGCACUGAGACCUUUUUUCCAUGACCCCCAGGUAUAACAGCUGUGACCCAUUUGCUUGGAGGAAGCUGGAAGAUUAGGAAAAACAAGCUGUUCUUAAUUUUCCUC
rnacentral:lncRNA from 7 species